CCCUCCUUCCUCCCUCAGGGAGAACUGAAGAAAAGAAGGAAAAGAGCUUCAGAACUAUGUGAAAAAAGUGAACCCUCUCCAAAGGCAUACUGAGUAGGGCAUAAAGCAGGUGGAGUUUAUGAAGAGUCAGGAAAAGAGAGAAGCAACCGCCAUCAUGCAACUGAGUGGAGGUGCAGUGACGGAUGUCUUGAAAGUGCAAUCCUACUAAGAAGAUU